CCUUCGAUAGCUCAGCUGGUAGAGCGGAGGACUGUAGGUACUUAGGUUGCUGGUUCGAUUCCAGCUCGAAGGA
rnacentral:tRNA from 1 species